rnacentral:rRNA from 1 species
CAAAAACAUCGCCUCUUGCAAAAAUCAAUGUAUAAGAGGUCCUACCUGCCCAGUGACUAAGUUAAACGGCCGCGGUAUUUUGACCGUGCAAAGGUAGCGCAAUCACUUGUUUUUUAAAUAAAGACCUGUAUGAAUGGUGAAACGAGGGCUUAACUGUCUCCCCUUUCCAAUCAGUGAAAUUGAUCUACCCGUGCAGAAGCGGGUAUAAGUAUACAAGACGAGAAGACCCUAUGGAGCUUAAGACAUAAAAUCAACUACAUUAAAAACCCCCUAAUUAAAUGGACCAAACAAAACAGUAAAUGAUUAGAGUCUUCGGUUGGGGCGACCACGGGGGAAAACAAAUCCCCCACGUGGAAUGGGAUAUACUCCUAAAACCAUGAGGUACACCUCUAAGUAUCAGAACCUCUGACCAAAAGAUCCGGCACCUAGCCGAUCAACGAACCAAGUUACCCUAGGGAUAACAGCGCAAUCCCCUCCAAGAGUCCAUAUCGACGAGGGGGUUUACGACCUCGAUGUUGGAUCAGGACAUCCUAAUGGUGCAGCCGCUAUUAAGGGUUCGUUUGUUCAACGAUUAAAGUCCUACGUGAUCUGAG